GACGAACGCUGGCGGCGUGCCUAAUACAUGCAAGUAGGACGCAGUUGCGAACGGGUGAGUAACGCGUAGGUAACUGCCUCUUAGAGGGGGAUAACUAUUGGAAACGAUAGCUAAUACCGCAUACUAGUAGAUGGACCUGCGUUUUAUUCGCUAUUAGGUAGGGUAAAGGCCUACCUAGGCGACGAUACAUAGCCGACCCGAGGGGGGGAUCUGCCAAACUGGGAAUGGGGAACGGGCCAGACUCCUACGGGAGGCAGCAGGAGGGGAUCUUCGGGAAUGGGGGGAAACCUGACCGAGCAACGCCGCGGGAGUGAAGAAGGUUUUCGGAUCGUAAAGCUCUUUUGUUAAGGAAGCGGUACUUAACCAGAAAGGGACGGCUAACUACGUGCCAGCAGCCGCGGUAAUAC
rnacentral:rRNA from 1 species